rnacentral:rRNA from 1 species
GACGAACGCUGGCGGCGUGCUUAACACAUGCAAGUCGAACGGAAAGGCCCUGCUUUUGUGGGGUGCUCGAGUGGCGAACGGGUGUGUAACCCGUGAGUAACCUGCCCUUGACUUUGGGAUAACUUCAGGAAACUGGGGCUAAUACCGGAUACGAGCUCCUGCUGCAUGGUGGGGGUUGGAAAGUUUCGGCGGUUGGGGAUGUACUCGCGGCUUAUCAGCUUGUUGGUUGGGUAGUGGCUUACCAAGGCUUUGACGGGUAGCCGGCCUGAGAGGGUGACCGGCCACAUUGGGACUGAGAUACGGCCCAGACUCCUACGGGAGGCAGCAGUGGGGAAUAUUGCACAAUGGGCGGAAGCCUGAUGCAGCAACGCCGCGUGCGGGAUGACGGCCUUCGGGUUGUAAACCGCUUUCGCCUGUGACGAAGCGUGAGUGACGGUAAUGGGUAAAGAAGCACCGGCUAACUACGUG